CCGAUUCUGAGUCGGAAUCGGUUGUUGCAUUUGAUUUGGAAUCCAUACUGACUCCAAUCAGGAUUCCGAAUCAAAUUCCGAAUGGUUUGACCGGAAACCCAAUGUAAAAGCAUGAGUUAGGCCCACCAUGUGUCAAAACCUGUAUAUCGCAAUAUUCUUGCGAGAGCGGUGGUAUUGUCAUUUUUUAUUUCUUGUCGUUUUUCAUUCGUUCGUUCAUAAUAGUUUUUGAGGUCGUUAGCCUCUACUCUGGACUGAUAAUUUCAAAGGUUGGUAUUUAAAUUUUGUAGGAAAGAAACGGUUGAUGAUUAGUGAAAAACAGAUUAUGGUAUUCCGUUUCACAAAAUUACAGGACGUUUAGUUUUUGUGCACAUAUCCAAUCGGGUUUCUUUUUUGUUGAUGAUGCCGGGAAAUAUACGGCUAAGACCGUGGUGCUUUUCACCAUGCAAUCGGUUUACCCGAUCGAGGGUUAGAUUGGCUAUCUCCAACUUCUGUGAAUGUGAAGGUAGACGCAAGUAUCCUGAGUUCGAACUCAAUAUAGAUCAGUCAUGACUACAGGCUGCAAAACUAUGUAUUCUCUUGGAUUAAAACAAGGCGGGCGGAUUUCUAACUUAUGGAUCGUUAGGAUAUUCAUUAAGGUGGGCUACCGUUUGAUUAAUAAAUUACAAUUCAGAGGAAUUUAACAUUUCACCUGGUUUCUUGUCCUUAUGAAGAUUUUAAUAUUAUUGGACAUCUUGUCGAAAUAGGACAUCGUUGCACCAAUCUAGUAUGUGUUACUUGUGUAUUCAUAAGUGCAUGAAUUGAUAUAACCGUUAAAUAAUAUGACCUCCCAAGAAAACUCCCUCAAACACUGAUACUGGUUUUGGAUGGCCGGAAUUAAGAAACAAACUGCAUAGGCAUGGCUAUGUCAUAUCGCGGACAAGUUGUCCAAUUAUCAAUUGGUGUACGUGGGCAUAAAUGUGAUGAAAAUUGUUCCAAUUUUGAAUAAGCUACAGACAAGGUAACAGAACAUACUCCUCAUCGUAUGUCCUUGAAUAUUCACUAUGGAUUACGAGCUAAUCAUAAGCGGCAACAUUACAAAGCAAAAUUCAUGUUGAAUAUUCGCAGAUACACGAUAUAGUGUCUGUUGCUCCUGUGCUCUGCUUUAACAAAGUUGAAAAUACCCUCACAUUAUGCGUUUUGAUAACUAACUAUUAAUGCAACCGAUAUAGGUUUGCUAUACGAAUACCUAUAAUCGCAAGUUAGUCUCUUGUAGAUAGAGAAUCCCAUAGAACAUGGGAAUGACUUGCGAUUAUAGGCUGUGUAGCACUAAAGUACAUUUUUAUCACUAGAUUCGUAUGAAUUUUAUUCUGGGUGUGCGCAGAUGUCGUAUGGAGACCAGCUUUGCUGUGCAGUACGGAUUGAUGAUUGAUUUUAAAAUGUCAUUAAGUUCCGUUGUCAAUGAGAAGCUUUGCUGAUCAGUGCCCCUGAAGUAUGUAGUACUCUAACAAUGCGAAUAAAUUAGUGUUUUGUGUACUGCUCAAGGCAGCUGACCGAAGACUUGCCUCGUUACAGCUGAAUCCGACUUUAACAAAGCAAUGUACCAUUUUAAGCCUUGGUAUCCUUUUCCAUUGCGGAACUUGACCUGUUGCUUCAACAAAUAGUGCUGCUGAUUUAUUAGUGCGUAAGACAUUUGAGAACAAGCGCUACUGUUCUAUUAACACUAAGUUUCGGUCUUUUCAUCUACCUGUCACUUUUAAAUCAGAUUUUACGAACCGUUAAACUAGGUUUGAAAAAGAAGCUUGGGGGACGAAAAGGCCCUAAGACUUAUUGACCAGACUUAUUACCAGCUCAAUACUUCCUGUACAACGAGAACAAGGCUUCUGAUAUUCAGCCUUAUUCUGCAUUACAACGAAUUGAUUUUUCGUACAAAUGUGGCGAUCUGACAUUGAAAGUUAACCGAGCAAUGAGGAAUUAAGAGAAAAACGGUACAAUCCCAAGUAACCAUAAGCAUUAAUCCAUUGCACUAUUGGCUCGUUAUUGAGAAUGCAAAAUACAUUCGUUUGAAAACGCGAUCCGUCGUAAUGCAGAAUAAUGCUGAUUAUGUCCAUGCUACUUACACUUAAUUCAACACUCAAUUCGAUAAUUGAUAUAUAUAUAUAUUUCUCAGCACAACAGUUAUUCUCAAAUCUUGUGUUUGCUCACAGCACUACACUAUUCCACGACACUUAUUGCAUUACAAAUAUUCCUCAACUCGACGAUACGAUAAAAUACAUUGUUUUUAACUUCUUAAAAUUAUACACGUUCACUCUCGAGUGUUCUAAUAAAACAUGUCUAUUUCACAUUAGUGAAUAACCUUACUGUUCUUUUCAACCACUUUUAUGGUUACAAAACCGGCUUAUGGUGGUUGUUUUUUGAUGGGCUGUAUUCUGACAGCAAAUAUUUUCAACACAGUUAAAAGCAAUGCUGAAUCUAAAACCCAUGUAGUUACUAUCAAUUUUUGACAUUCUGAUUUCAACCACAUACGUAGUUAAAAAACCAAAUUAGGUUUUAAGUUUUUGGUUUGCUGGAUUGUGUCCAGGAUAUCAUUCAACUAAAUGCUUUCCCUGAAAACAAGGAAUAUAUUUAGAAAUAUGCGAGCUAAAUUUUAACUAAAUUUUUAGUUAUUUUUCCGAAAUUCUUGUUAAUUUCAACUAAUCUAAAUUCAGAAACAGGAAUUAGCAAAUAAACUGAUUUCUGUCUUUCCGUGUAGGAAUUGAAACUUUUCAUAGUUAGCAUCAUACUGUUGAACUUCGCUGUCCAAGCAUUCCUGACAUUCUUCCGGGUGUUGCAUGUGCAUCUACGCCCCCCGGAACGAACGGUCGGGGUGAAACGGAUAGUAGAUUCUUCGUAUACCACUAACCGUAUCGUGGGGGAUAAAACAUUCCUUCUUCAUAGCCUCCAACAGUUCUUAGUGCAUCUGGUGUAGGAUAAAUCGAUUCCAAUUUUGAAUUAGACUGAUCAGAUUGAUGUUAGCAAUGUUGCUUCGGUCCGAAGAAAAUAUUAACCCCAGGGCAGCUUCUUCCGGAAAGAGAAUUCCUUACAACAGCAGUGCGUAAUGGGUCGAAGUGACAGCUGCUAUCUAAACCAAGACUAUUGAAAACUAUAGGUAGGAUUAUUCAAGAUUAGCUAAAACUAGUCGAGAUUAUUUUGGGAAUAAAAAAGUUCACUAAUUUAUAGCGCAUUGCGCACAUAAUAAGUGCGACUGAAAGUGCGGAAACGCGAAUAAAACUGCGCUUUUACAUUGAAUCGCCUUGGUGUCUAUUACGCACUUAUGUAUUAUCCAACGAGGAAUAAGUGCGCCUCAUACAUGAAAACGAUUCAAUGUAAAAGCGCACUUUUAUAAGAAAAAUCGCACUUUCAUGGAGUCCAGUUUUAAAUGCCACGAAUAAUAUUUUAGUCCAACGUUUAUGGCGAUUUUGCUUGAACCUGAAACUGAGUCAGGUUCUAACCCCAACUGCUGUCAGUUCAUACAUUUUGACAGCAGUUGGGGUUAGGAACUGACUCAGUUUCGCCUCAAACGAAAACCACAUUAGAGUGAUUUCCCCCUAGGGGUGUGGAUGUUUUUUUAUAACCGUUGGCUGAAUUUUCGUGAAAAAGUAUAUGUCGCCACGCGAUGGGAGUACAAUGUGCCAUUAGGAGCCUUGAGGACAACCAUAACAACUGGGUGACUAAACAGAACAGCGGGACAUUAUGAUUUAGAGCAACACACCACCGUUCUAUGAAUCGUUGGGGUUUGCACCAUGCGAUGUAGAAUAAUAUAGUCAAUGAGACAAAAUAACUAAUCGAAUGAUUCACUGCGUAUAGUUUUUCUCAUGUUCCCAAUCUUCUAUUGGCAGACAGCCGCUUUAAAUAAUCGGUGCAACGUCGUAGCAUUAUUUAGUGGAUUCUUGGUGGAAAUGUGGUGCUUCCUGCCGAUGUUGGUGACUCGAAGGCAAACCGAAUAAAAGGGCUCCAGAUUGAAACAGUUAAACAUAUAGGGUAGAUGAUUUAAUUUUUCUCAAACUAUUAAGGUGCUACACUAUGUUCCGAUGAAUAUACUGGAAGAGGUAGAGAUUUUGUGCGAAGUAGGGAUACCAAUUUUUUAUCCCAUAAUUUGAACAGCAGACGAUGUGUUCGGUUAGGUACAAUAAAUAGAUAGGCUACGAUGAUAUAAAGAGAUGUAACCCUCUCAGUGGGAGGCACGAUUCUCGAGAGUCUAAGAUAGAAUAUUUAUGCAAUUUCACCCGAUCGAAGUGAAUUAUAACUCUUACAGAAACAUGGACAAAUAUAUUGCGAAUGAAUAAAUUAUGUUUCUAAAGUAAA